rnacentral:lncRNA from 7 species
GCAGUGAUGAGGAGGAGAGCUGCAUGACAGGCUUUCUGGUACAAUUCCUACAGAUAUGUUCCCUUCAGGUUUGACCUUGGAAAGACCCAGAAGCAUAGUCAUGGCCAUCCCAUUGCUGAAGCCAUCUCCUCAUGCCACUCACACUUCAGGAUGGCAGGAUGGUAGUGAGCAGCCUGCUGAGCUAUGAAGUCCUAUUAUUCAGAGAAAUUCUUGCUGGAGUUUUUAUCAGUGUUCUGCAGCAGCUCAUUUUAUCUGGCACACUACUUGUCGGGAAAAGAGAGCUUGAAGGCUUUCUCAACUGCAUCUUACAGCUUUUGCCUACCCUCUUAGGUUUUAAUGAUCUUUUGGACUCUUGAACACACUCUGCACCAACUAGGUGCUUUAUCACAAUCCCUAUCACAUAAGAACAAACCUGGGAAGCUUCAGUUCUCAAAAGAGAGUAAGCAGGAAAAGGAUUUUUUGAUUUUGCUUCCUGUGAACAUCCUAUUUUUUGACAAAUAAACAAGAAGUGUCAGCAUGGAUUCCCAUUCCAGAAGGCAGCUACAUUUUGUCUAUUCCAUCUGUUAGGCUGGCCAUUGGGAUAAUGGGACCCCAAGGCAGAGCUGGGUAAAAAGUGUUCGAUGUCAAUUUACACACUGCAAAAAGAAAGAAAAACAGGAGAGAGUGACAGACAGAGACCGAGAAGAAGCAACAACAGAUUUGGGACAGAAGAUGGACAUAAGUCCUAUUUGCAAAUGUUGAUCACAUUUGGUGAUUAGUCUCAGCCAAGAAAAAUGAAGCAGGGUUUUUUUUGGUAACAUUUCAAAACAAAUCUGAAUUUCUGUUCUCAAAUAUGAUUUUUCUUUGGAAAUAAAAUAGAGCUAAAUAAAAAGGCAGUGAGAAAGGUCUAGCCUCAAAUAACAAAUGGGAACACUUGGUGUCAAGACGAACACAAUGUUCCAGUUCAACAUCUCCCUCCUCACACCCCCAUUAGUUUAAAUGUCAUAAAUAUAAUGUUCUGUUUUAUUUUAAAACACAUUUCUCCUGUUGUAUUGUACAAAUAAAUAAAUAAUAAACAGAGCUGUUAUUCACUAAGCUGCAAAACACUGCUUAAGGGAGCUACAGCUGGGUCUGACAGAAUUGUUUCAAAUGUAUACCAAAGAUCAUGGCUUAGUGCACUAAUCCAGGGGUGAAAUUAGCCAGGGAAGAGAGCUGAAGAAAAGUGAAAGAGGAAGAGGGGAGAAAGAUUACCCUUUCUGGUCUGGACUUGCAUGGGUGGCUGCCCAAGCCAGUGUUGUGGGUUAACCUGAGAAAACAGCUCCUUUGGAUCAUCUUGACCAUCCAGCACUCUUCCAAAACUUUGACCAUUUGACUUUGCAAAAAGGAAAAGGAAAAACCUCAGAGAAUGUAAAGUUUGGCCAAAUCAGAUAAGAAAGUUUUAUAAUAAAGUGUACAUAGUUUUGUAGUUUAAAACUUUUUUUUUUCUUUUUCACUGACCUUUGCUUAUAAGGUUUUGUCUGUCAGUCAGGUAUAUCAGGAAUAAUAAUAAUAAUAAUAACAAUAAUAAUAAUAAAAUAGGUGAAAAU